rnacentral:rRNA from 1 species
CAUGGACUUGCUCUUUGACGUUAGCGGCGGACGGGUGAGUAACACGUGGGUAACCUACCUAUAAGACUGGAAUAACUCCGGGAAACCGGGGCUAAUGCCGGAUAAUAUUUAGAACCGCAUGGUUCUAAAGUGAAAGAUGGUUUUGCUAUCACUUAUAGAUGGACCCGCGCCGUAUUAGCUAGUUGGUGGGGUAAUGGCUUACCAAGGCAACGAUACGUAGCCGACCUGAGAGGGUGAUCGGCCACACUGGAACUGAGACACGGUCCAGACUCCUACGGGAGGCAGCAGUAGGGAAUCUUCCGCAAUGGGCGAAAGCCUGACGGAGCAACGCCGCGUGAGUGAUGAAGGUCUUCGGAUCGUAAAACUCUGUUAUUAGGGAAGAACAAAUGUGUAAGUAACUGUGCACGUCUUGACGGUACCUAAUCAGAAAGCCACGGCUAACUACGUGCCAGCAGCCGCGGUAAUACGUAGGUGGCAAGCGUUAUCCGGAAUUAUUGGGCGUAAAGCGCGCGUAGGCGGUUUCUUAAGUCUGAUGUGAAAGCCCACGGCUCAACCGUGGAGGGUCAUUGGAAACUGGGAAACUUGAGUGCAGAAGAGGAAAGUGGAAUUCCAUGUGUAGCGGUGAAAUGCGCAGAGAUAUGGAGGAACACCAGUGGCGAAGGCGACUUUCUGGUCUGUAACUGACGCUGAUGUGCGAAAGCGUGGGGAUCAAACAGGAUUAGAUACCCUGGUAGUCCACGCCGUAAACGAUGAGUGCUAAGUGUUAGGGGGUUUCCGCCCCUUAGUGCUGCAGCUAACGCAUUAAGCACUCCGCCUGGGGAGUACGACCGCAAGGUUGAAACUCAAGAAAGGAAUUGACGGGGACCCGCACAAG